rnacentral:rRNA from 1 species
AUUGAACGCUGGCGGCAUGCCUUACACAUGCAAGUCGAACGGCAGCACGAGUGCUUGCACUUGGUGGCGAGUGGCGGACGGGUGAGUAAUACAUCGGAACGUACCUUAUCGUGGGGGAUAACGCAGCGAAAGCUGUGCUAAUACCGCAUACGCCCUGAGGGGGAAAGCGGGGGAUCGCAAGACCUCGCGCGAUUAGAGCGGCCGAUGCCUGAUUAGCUAGUUGGUGGGGUAAAAGCUCACCAAGGCGAUGAUCAGUAGCUGGUCUGAGAGGACGAUCAGCCACACUGGGACUGAGACACGGCCCAGACUCCUACGGGAGGCAGCAGUGGGGAAUUUUGGACAAUGGGGGCAAUCCUGAUCCAGCAAUGCCGCGUGAGUGAAGAAGGCCUGG